rnacentral:rRNA from 1 species
UACAGAGGUCUCAAGCGUUGUUCGGAUUCAUUGGGCGUAAAGGGUGCGUAGGUGGCGUCGUAAGUCGGGUGUGAAAUUUCGGAGCUUAACUCCGAAACUGCAUUCGAUACUGCGGUGCUUGAGGACUGGAGAGGAGACUGGAAUUUACGGUGUAGCAGUGAAAUGCGUAGAGAUCGGGAGGAACACCAGUGGCGAAGGCGGCUUUCUGGCCUGGUUCUUGACGCUGAGGCGCGGAAAAGCUAGGGGAGCAAACGGGG